rnacentral:rRNA from 1 species
CCUUUGACGUUAGCGGCGGACGGGUGAGUAACACGUGGGUAACCUACCUAUAAGACUGGGAUAACUUCGGGAAACCGGAGCUAAUACCGGAUAAUAUUUCGAACCGCAUUGUUCGAUAGUGAAAGGUGGUUUUGCUAUCACUUAUAGAUGGACCCGCGCCGUAUUAGCUAGUUGGUAAGGUAACGGCUUACCAAGGCGACGAUACGUAGCCGACCUGAGAGGGUGAUCGGCCACACUGGAACUGAGACACGGUCCAGACUCCUACGGGAGGCAGCAGUA